rnacentral:rRNA from 1 species
GAUGAACGCUGGCGGCGUGCCUAAUACAUGCAAGUCGAGCGAACAGACGAGGAGCUUGCUCCUCUGACGUUAGCGGCGGACGGGUGAGUAACACGUGGAUAACCUACCUAUAAGACUGGGAUAACUUCGGGAAACCGGAGCUAAUACCGGAUAAUAUAUUGAACCGCAUGGUUCAAUAGUGAAAGACGGUUUUGCUGUCACUUAUAGAUGGAUCCGCGCCGCAUUAGCUAGUUGGUAAGGUAACGGCUUACCAAGGCAACGAUGCGUAGCCGACCUGAGAGGGUGAUCGGCCACACUGGAACUGAGACACGGUCCAGACUCCUACGGGAGGCAGCAGUAGGGAAUCUUCCGCAAUGGGCGAAAGCUUGACGGAGCAACGCCGCGUGAGUGAUGAAGGUCUUCGGAUCGUAAAACUCCGUUAUUAGGGAAGAACAAAUGUGUAAGUAACUAUGCACGUCUUGACGGUUCCUAAUCAGAAAGCCACGGCUAACUACGUG